rnacentral:rRNA from 1 species
GACGUAGGGCGCGAGCGUUGUCCGGAUUUAUUGGGCGUAAAGAGCUCGUAGGCGGUCUGUCGCGUCGGCUGUGAAACCCGCGGCUCAACCUCGGGCCUGCAGUCGAUACGGGCAGACUAGAGUGCGGUAGGGGAGACUGGAAUUCCGUGGUGUAGCGGUGAAAUGCGCAGAUAUCAGGAGGAACACCGGUGGCGAAGGCGGGUCUCUGGGCCGUAACUGACGCUGAGGAGCGAAAGCGUGGGGAGCGAACAGG